AAAUAAAUCCCCCCCAAAAAAACCAAAACUAAUAAGUUAGUUAAUAAAUAAUGAGGCAGCGCUAAAAUCUAUUGAAUCAAGUAUAAAGGUUAGUCGUACCCAAAUGAUCAAAUGGCCCGGGUGUACAAACCCCACAAGCCCUUCUCAACCAAAUCCUGAAAGACAUCGAUUGAACUACCUCUCGAUUGAACGGGAUAAAAAUUGGAAGUAAACUGUAACUUGUUUGCAAUUUCAGUGGUCCCAACCCCUACUCUAUCAUAGAAAUAUCCAGAAUCCACUUGUAAAGACUGUAAUGCAUGCACACACUGCUCUUCUUGAAAGUUAAGGGGAUUACCGUUCCUAAAGUCCCCAGCUGAUUUAACAACUUGUUCCCCACCAACAACCGAACUAGUAACCUGCCCGCUAUUACUACUAUCAACUUCACAGGGAUCCUGCUCCACCAAAUCAUUAGCCCCAUCUAUAACCCCUUCAAGGAAAUGCUUCUUCAAAGUAAGUUUGCGUACAAAGCAAUUUAAAUCAAUUAAAGGGAUACUGACAGUAAAAUAAAACAUUUGAUUAUAUGAUUCUACCUCCAAAAUGACCUAUUACACAUGUUGACCAUUUUCUAUGGGAAGCGCUUGUUUUCUUAAUAAACGCUUCUUAAGAUCCAGGACCCGACUGUCAGCCAAGCACGACUGUCUCUGUUAAGCCUGUCAGUCAAAGCAGGAGCAAGGCUGACGUCAGUCUCACAAAGAUCCUCCUCCUUUCCUUUCCCCUUACUUUGAGAAGCGUCAUCAAUCAUGUGACCCUUCCGUGAUCUUGGUGUCUUCUCUCGAGACUGGAGACUGCCGAGUGCUGACUGCCUGGGCGGCGUUCCAGCAAGCAGGAAGGGAAGAAAGAAGAUGGCGGCGUCGUGGGACUCACAUUCAGAAGGUGCCGACGGAGGAGCAGCUGGACCGUGGGAAUUUUUUUUACAGCGUUUCAGAAGCUAUCAUUCGAUAUCCUGACCGAUCGUCGUGGGAGACCUCCUCGAUAUCUGACCGAUCGUCGAGGAUUCUGUUCCCAUUCGAGUGGCGACCUCUCCACUUCCGAUGUUCCCAAGUUCUCCCAUUUUUUGCCGAUCUAUAAACCUCAAAUUCUCUAUUCGAGACCGGUGAGAUUUCCUUGGUAGAUCUUCGUGUUCUGAGUGCAUAAUUGGACCGCGACCCCGUAUCCUUAAACAAUUGCAGGGCUCUUGACUCGCGAUCACACUGUGAAGAGAUAGAGGAAAGGGAGGAGCAGGCAGGAGUACUGGUAUCCACAUUGUGAGAGUCCUCCUCACUGGAGAAUCUCACCCGUUUUGGAAAACGCGAUCUUUUCAAAAUGGAUAGUAGUAAUAGCGGGCAGGUUACUAGUUCGGUUGUUGGUGGGGAACAAGUUGUUAAAUCAGCUGGGGACUUUAGGAACGGUAAUCCCCUUAACUUUCAAGAAGAGCAGUGUGUGCAUGCAUUACAGUCUUUACAAGUGGAUUCUGGAUAUUUCUAUGAUAGAGUAGGGGUUGGGACCACUGAAAUUGCAAACAAGUUACAGUUUACUUCCAAUUUUUAUCCCGUUCAAUCGAGAGGUAGUUCAAUCGAUGUCUUUCAGGAUUUGAUUGAGAAGGGCUUGUUGGCCUUGAAGGCCAAAACCGAUGAUUUACCAAUACACUCUAACCUUAAUAAGGCUGAGAGACAAGCUUUGAAGCAGCUAAAGGAGGACAAAUCGUUGGUAAUCAAAAAUGCUGAUAAGGGAGGAAUGGUAGUUGUUAUGGAUACUGAGACUUAUAAGGUUGAAGCCAUGCGACAACUGAAUGAUGUAUCUACCUAUCAGAAAUUACGAUCUAAUCCAUCUGAGGAGUUUAUGAAAGCCCUUAAGGAGUUGGUUUUUAAUGCACAGAUUAAUGGUGUCAUUAGUUUGAAAAUCAGAGAUUAUUUGAUUAUUUGUUUUCUAUCAUUUACCUAAGGUACACAAAGCAGAGCGUCCACCUGUAGGUAGGCCUAUUGUAUCGGGGGUACAGUCUCUCAAUGAGAGAUUAUCUGAGUUUAUCGAUAUCUUAUUACAGCCCUUGGUUUUACAUUUGGCCUCAUAUAUACGGGACACGAAACACGUUUUACAGAUUUUGGGUGAUUGUAGGUGGCACGAUUCUUUUUCUUGGGGCACGGUGGACAUGGUUUCUCUUUACUCUUGCAUUCCACAUGACAAGGGGUUAUUGGCCAUUUCUUAUCACCUGGAUAGGUAUAGCACUUAUGAUAGUCUUUUGAAAGAUUUUAUUUUGGACGCUAUUGCUUAUUUAUUAACACAUAAUUUUUUUAAGUUUGACGGCAAUUUUUACCUCCAAAGAUGUGGGACGUCUAUGGGUGCGAAAUUUGUGCCCACUUAUGCCAACCUUUACAUGGGCUGGUGGGAAGAGUCCCACAUCUUUGGGGGUGAAUUGCCGCUGUUGGCACAUAUAGUACUAUAUAGAAGGUAUGUGGAUGAUCUUAUUUUUAUUUGGAAGGGCACUGAAGGCACUUUUUCACACUUUGUGGGGAGUUUAAAUCAUAAUGAUUUAAAUUUGAGGUUUGUAAGCGAAUACGAUUCGACAUGUAUCACUUUUUUGGAUCUCCAGUUGAGGGGCAUUGGAACCCUAAUUGAGACUGACACCUUUAGGAAGCCCUGUUCUGGGAAUUCCCUUUUGAGGGCUGACUCGUGCCAUCCUAGUCACCUUUUCAAAGGGAUUCCCUUGGGUCAGUUUUAUAGACUUAAAGGAACAGUAACACCAAAAAAUUAAA